rnacentral:lncRNA from 1 species
ACCUCAUAUGUGCUCCAACGAAUCUAUAUAACUUCAUAAAUCUCUUUCAAAAUCUAACACCCAACAUCGUACUUUUAUCAAAUUUUUAUCAUAAUUAUUUUCAAAAUAAAAAUCUUAAAUCCUCUCAGGCCUGGCUAUGCCGUAGCCCUACAUUUAAUCAUUUAAUCUAGGACAUCAAAUUGAUCAACUACAAAUCAAAGAUUAUGCUACAAUGCUAGGAUAUAAUUGAUGAUGAAAUCUUUUAAUGCUCGAUCCGAUCAAAAUGGAGACCAACAAACUAUCCAACAAUCAAUGAUCAAAAUCCUUUUACCAGGAUCUAUCAAAGCUAUCAGAGUCUUUCUAAGAUCCAAAAAAUUCUAGAAAAGAGAUAUAAUUCCGAAAGAGACACUUUUAGAGAGAGAAAUUUGUAAAGAGAGAAAGUGAGAUUUUUUUCUAGAGAGAAAGUAGAAAGAAAGUGGAAAGAGAAAAUAAUAGAAGCAUGUAAAGAGAGAGAAGAGAGAGAAGGAAGAGAGAGAAUCUGUAUCUCUCUAUAUUUUUUCUUU